rnacentral:rRNA from 1 species
AACGAACGCUGGCGGUAUGCCUAACACAUGCAAGUCGCACGAGAAAGUACUUCGGUAUGAGUAGAGUGGCGCACGGGUGAGUAACACGUAGGUGACCUUCCGAAUAGUGGGGGAUAACUCGGAGAAAUCCGGGCUAAUACCGCAUAUGUACGACAAAUCUGAGAGUAGUCGUAGAAAGAAUGCCUCUACUUGUAAGCAUUCGCUAAUCGAUGGGCCUGCGGAGCAUUAGCUUGUUGGUGGGGUAAUGGCCUACCAAGGCUACGAUGCUUAACGGAUCUGAGAGGAUGAUCCGUCACACUGGAACUGAGACACGGCCCAGACUCCUACGGGAGGCAGCAGUGGGGAAUAUUGCGCAAUGGACGCAAGUCUGACGCAGCAAUACCGCGUGAGUGAGGAAGGCCUCGGUUGU